rnacentral:rRNA from 1 species
ACGCUGGCGGCGUGGCCUAACACAUGCAAGUCGAACGGAGUCCAUUGGCAGAACUCUUCGGAGGGACGCUGAGAAGACUUAGUGGCGGACGGGUGAGUAACGCGUGAGCAACCUGCCUUUCAGGAGGGGGAUAACACAGGGAAACCUGUGCUAAUACCGCAUAAUGCACAAUGAUCGCAUGAUCGAUGUGCCAAAGCGAUUCAGCGCUGAAAGAUGGGCUCGCGUCUGAUUAGAUAGUUGGUGAGGUAACGGCCCACCAAGUCAACGAUCAGUAGCCGGACUGAGAGGUUGAACGGCCACAUUGGGACUGAGAUACGGCCCAGACUCCUACGGGAGGCAGCAGUGGGGAAUAUUGCACAAUGGGCGAAAGCCUGAUGCAGCAACGCCGCGUGAGGGAAGACGGUUUUCGGAUUGUAAACCUCUGUUUUCGGUGACGAACAAAUGACGGUAACCGAGUAGGAAGCCACGGCUAACUACGUG